rnacentral:lncRNA from 1 species
CCCUCUCCGGGAUGUUCCAUCAGUUCUUGCAGCAGCAGACCACAGCUGCAGCUCCCCCAGCCCCACCUCCGACGCAGCCUGCCCCGACGACUGCGGACCCUCCGGUGACGCCUGCACCGGCUACCGCUCCGACGGUUACGGCGACUACGGCUGCCGCCACGACACUUCCUUCUGGGGGUACUGAUACCCAUGCAGCUGAGGGCGCCCGCAUUCGGGCGAAGCUGGCGCAUUUCCGGAAGUUCGAUCCGCCGAAGUUUUCCGGAAAGAAGGAUGAUAGUUGGGAGAUCGAGCAGUGGUCUA